AUUAAUACCUCAUGGUAUUAUGAAUUGGCAUCAUUUUAUAAUUAAAGAUUUAUCGGUGAAAGAUGAGCAUGCGUCCCAUUAGCUAGUUGGUAUGGUAACGGCAUACCAAGGCGACGAUGGGUAGGGGUCCUGAGAGGGAGAUCCCCCACACUGGUACUGAGACACGGACCAGACUCCUACGGGAGGCAGCAGUGAGGAAUAUUGGUCGAUGGACGCAAGUCUGAACCAGCCAUGCCGCGUGCAGGAUGACGGUCCUAUGGAUUGUAAACUGCUUUUGUACGAGAAGAAACACUCCUUCGUGAAGGAGCUUGACGGUAUCGUAAGAAUAAGGAUCGGCUAACUCCGUGCCAGCAGCCGCGGUAAUACGGAGGAUCCAAGCGUUAUCCGGAAUCAUUGGGUUUAAAGGGUCCGUAGGCGGUUUAGUAAGUCAGUGGUGAAAGCCCAUCGCUCAACGGUGGAACGGCCAUUGAUACUGCUAGACUUGAAUUAUUAGGAAGUAACUAGAAUAUGUAGUGUAGCGGUGAAAUGCUUAGAGAUUACAUGGAAUACCAAUUGCGAAGGCAGGUUACUACUAAUGGAUUGACGCUGAUGGACGAAAGCGUGGGUAGCGAACAGGAUUAGAUACCCUGGUAGUCCACGCUGUAAACGAUGGAUACUAGCUGUUGGGGGCAACUUCAGUGGCUAAGCGAAAGUGAUAAGUAUCCCACCUGGGGAGUACGAACGCAAGUUUGAAACUCAACGGAAUUGACGGGGGCCCGCACAAGCGGUGGAGCAUGUGGUUUAAUUCGAUGAUACGCGAG
rnacentral:rRNA from 1 species